AUGGCGGCUGCGGCGCUGUUAUCGGCUCCGGCGCCGGUGCCCCUGCCGGCGGCCUUCGCGGGGUGGUGGGAGCACGUGAACGGCUCGCCGGCGUGGCAGGACGGGAUCUUCUGGGCCCUCGCCGCACUCUACGGCCUCAUCGCCGCCUCCUCCUUCAUCCAAGUUGCCAGAAUACAGCACAGAGUUCCUGAAUAUGGAUGGACAACACAAAAGGUCUUCCAGUUCCUUAAUUUCUUGGUUAAUGGAGCAAGGUGUUCCAUCUUUGCUUUCCGUCGUCAAGUGCAACUAGUGAACCCUCAGAUCUUUCAGCAUGUUAUUCUUGAUCUGCCGGGGCUUGCAUUCUUCACUACCUAUGCAAUGUUGGCACUUUUCUGGGCUGAAAUAUCUUAUCAAGCACGUGGUCUAGACACUGAUGGCCUCAGAUCAGGUUUCUAUACUAUUAACGGUGUCGUUUAUGCGAUGCAGGUUUUGGUGUGGGUAUUGUUGUGGUUGAAUCCAAAUUCAUCUAUGCUUGUGCUUUCAAAGUUAUUCAUUGCGGGACUUUCAUUUUCCGCUGCUCUGGGUUUUCUGCUGUACGGAGGGAGGCUAUUCCUCAUGUUGAAGCGUUUCCCUAUCGAGUCUAAAGGGAGGCAACAAAAGCUGAGCGAGGUUGGCAGAGUGGCCGCUAUUUGUUCCUGUUGCUUCUUGGCAAGAUGCGUAAUGAUGUGUUUCGCUGCCUUCAAUAAAGAUGCUGAUCUGGAUGUUCUUGACCAUCCAAUUCUGAAUUUCAUAUAUUACCUCCUUGUCGAAAUCGUUCCUUCGGCUCUUGUCCUGUACAUUCUGCGGAGGAUCCCUUCGAAGCUAAAGCUCGCACGUUACCAUCCCCUCAGCAGCGGCUAG
rnacentral:rRNA from 1 species